rnacentral:rRNA from 1 species
UACGUAGGGGGCGAGCGUUGUCCGGAAUUAUUGGGCGUAAAGGGCGUGUAGGCGGCUGAUCAAGUCUGGUGUGAAAAUCCGGGGCUUAACCCCGGAAGUGCAUUGGAAACUGGUUGGCUUGAGUGCAGGAGAGGAAAGUGGAAUUCCCAGUGUAGCGGUGAAAUGCGUAGAUAUUGGGAGGAACACCAGUGGCGAAGGCGACUUUCUGGACUGCAACUGACGCUGAGGCGCGAAAGCUAGGGGAGCAAACAGG